rnacentral:rRNA from 1 species
GAUGAACGCUGGCGGCGUGCCUAAUACAUGCAAGUCGAGCGAACAGACGAGGAGCUUGCUCCUCUGACGUUAGCGGCGGACGGGUGAGUAACACGUGGAUAACCUACCUAUAAGACUGGGAUAACUUCGGGAAACCGGAGCUAAUACCGGAUAAUAUAUUGAACCGCAUGGUUCAAUAGUGAAAGACGGUUUUGCUGUCACUUAUAGAUGGAUCCGCGCCUCAUUAGCUAGUUGGUAAGGUAACGGCUUACCAAGGCAACGAUGCGUAGCCGACCUGAGAGGGUGAUCGGCCACACUGGAACUGAGACACGGUCCAGACUCCUACGGGAGGCAGCAGUAGGGAAUCUUCCGCAAUGGGCGAAAGCCUGACGGAGCAACGCCGCGUGAGUGAUGAAGGUCUUCGGAUCGUAAAACUCUGUUAUUAGGGAAGAACAAAUGUGGAAGUAAAUAUGCACGUAUUGACGGUACCUAAUCAGAAAGCCACGGCUAACUACGUG